rnacentral:lncRNA from 1 species
GACACGGUGGGCGGUGGAGGUUUCAUGCUCGCAGCUUCAUCUGGUUCMCAGUCCUCCAUGCCGCGGCUGGAGGAACCAUCCUGCCGUCUGUGAUGAGCUGGGCUGCAGGGCCCGUGAUAUAGGGAAAGGUCAAGUCUUGGUCUUCAAGAUCUUGAAGCGCUGUAUGAUGUCCUCGUGGCAUUUGACACAUCAAUGACAGCAAAAAUACUCAGUGUCAUGAGAAGUUUUUGUGUUCUGAUACAUCAUAACCGUAUUUCUCUUUUAAACACUACGAAAGACAGAAAAUACUCAUAGUCGUGUAGCCCCAGAGCUGUAUAUGUGUAUUGUCUUUGCACUUCUGAAAUAUUUUUUGACAGAAGUCAUUUCUUUAUCACUUUUUAAAAUCAUUUUUGCAUUUUUUCUGAAAACACMGCUGUAUAUUUUUCAAGGUGUAUCCACAUACCUGGUAGGUGCACGAGUAUAUCAGAUUUUAUAGCUUUAAGUGAUCUUUCAUGUCUCUGCUUCAGUCCCAUAUUCACUGUGCAUUUUGUUACUAGUAUUUCUCUGUCUGCAGUACAUGAUUACAUUAUUCAGGGUCAUACCUCUCCAUCUCCACCAUCCAUUCAGAGGCAAAUGGAACUGGGGAGAUGGUUAUUAAAACACAGAAAGCAGAGAAAUAAAAUUAACCGUAGCACCAGUUCUCURUGUGUCUCUGAAUACACGGAGGAAAUAAAAGGGCCUUGCACUUCUAAUAAAAUCUGGAUAUGAAUUGCCUCAUAAGAGUUUAAAUGAAUUAUAUUCAGAGGCCAAAAAGAGAAAAGAGAGAGCUCAGGGACCUCCUGCAGCACUCCGACGGCUCUCAUUGCCUUGAUGUGUAGCGCACUGAAACAUGCCAUAAAAACUUGAAAAUUGGGUGUCAUAUUUUGCUCAGAAAGCGAGCUUCGGGGUUGCUGAAAUGCUUGAGUCAUGCAUCUGCUGGCAGCUGAAGUCCUUCUCCGUGCAACGAUAGCCCCACCGAGAUCUCCAGAGCUCUUCCUAUCACAUCCGUCAGGCUCCACCACCGCUCCGGUUCCCGUGCAAGUCCUGUGUUGGUGGAGGAAGGACCAUAGGAUCAGCGGAGGCUCCCGAGCCCCAUGCGUGCCCCACUCCAAUCUUCCCAGGGUCCCAGGAAGGAUUUGGGGCGGUGUAGCCAGGAGUGUCAGACAUCCGAAGGAAGAGGGGAUUGCAGAACUGAUGUACUCCUGGUGAUGAAUAAUCCUUAGAGUAAACUCUUAUGAUCCAAGGCAGAUAGUUUAUUAUUAUUACCAUUAAUUCUAGUAGUACCAUGUCCAGAGAAGCAGAAUGUGAAGAUAGAUGAGUUUAUGACCUACAUAUUACAUGCUAGAUUUUUAUCUCAGUAAUAUGAGAAAAUCGAUCAUUUCGUUAAUGAAAAGACCAAUAAAAUCUCUAACUUCAGUGGAGCA